rnacentral:tRNA from 1 species
GGCGGGUUAGCAAAGCGGUUAUGCAGCGGAUUGCAAAUCCGUUUAGCUCGGUUCGACUCCGGGACCCGCCUCCA